AAAUGACUCUCGGCAACGGAUAUCUCGGCUCUCGCAUCGAUGAAGAACGUAGCGAAAUGCGAUACUUGGUGUGAAUUGCAGAAUCCCGUGAACCAUCGAGUCUUUGAACGCAAGUUGCGCCCGACGCCCUCGGGCUGAGGGCACGUCUGCCUGGGUGUCACGC
rnacentral:rRNA from 1 species